rnacentral:rRNA from 1 species
ACUCCUACGGGAGGCAGCAGUGGGGAAUAUUGCACAAUGGGGGAAACCCUGAUGCAGCCAUGCCGCGUGUGUGAAGAAGGCCUUCGGGUUGUAAAGCACUUUCAGUAGGGAGGAAGGUAGUGUAGUUAACACCUGCAUUAUUUGACGUUACCUACAGAAGAAGCACCGGCUAACUCCGUGCCAGCAGCCGCGGUAAUACGGAGGGUGCGAGCGUUAAUCGGAAUUACUGGGCGUAAAGCGCAUGCAGGCGGCCUGUUAAGUCAGAUGUGAAAGCCCGGGGCUUAACCUCGGAAUUGCAUUUGAAACUGGCAGGCUAGAGUCUUGUAGAGGGGGGUAGAAUUUCAGGUGUAGCGGUGAAAUGCGUAAGAGAUCUGAAAGGAAUACCGGUGGCGAAGGCGGCCCCCUGGACAGAUACUGACACUCAGAUGCGAAAGCGUGGGGAGCAAACAGGAUUAGAUACCCUGGUAGGAUAGCG